UACGGGGGGGCAAGCGUUGUUCGGAAUUACUGGGCGUAAAGGGCUCGUAGGCGGCCAACUAAGUCGGAUGUGAAAUCCCCAGGCUCAACCUGGGAACUGCAUCCGAUACUGGAUGGCUUGAAUCCGGGAGAGGGAUGCAGAAUUCCAGGUGUAGCGGUGAAAUGCGUAGAUAUCUGGAGGAAUACCGGUGGCGAAGGCGGCAUCCUGGACCGGCAUUGACGCUGAGGAGCGAAAGCCAGGGGAGCAACGGG
rnacentral:rRNA from 1 species